rnacentral:rRNA from 1 species
GACGAACGCUGGCGGCGUGCUUAACACAUGCAAGUCGAACGGGCCCGCUCUCUUUUUUGGGGGUGGGUUGAGUGGCGAACGGGUGAGUAUCACGUGAGUAACCUGCCCCCUGCUCCUGGAUAACUGCUUGAAAGGGCGGCUAAUACGGGGUGUGCCGGCUGGUCCGCAUGGGCCUGGUCGGGAUAGUUUCAUCUUCGGGUGUUUCGGUGGGGGAUGGGCUCGCGGCCUAUCAGCUUGUUGGUGGGGUGAUGGCCCACCAAGGCGGUGACGGGUAGCCGGCCUGGGAGGGUGGGCGGCCACCCUGGGACUGAGACACGGCCCAGACUCCUGCGGGAGGCAGCAGUGGGGGGUAUUGCACAAUGGGCGGAAGCCUGAUGCAGCGACGUCGCGUGAGGGAUGGAGGCCGUCGGGUGGUGAACCUCUUUCUCCGGUGGUGAAGGCCCUGUCCGUUGCGGCGGGGUUGACGGUAGCCGGGUAUGAAGCGCCGGCUAACUACGUG